rnacentral:rRNA from 1 species
AUGAACGCUGGCGGCGUGCUUAACACAUGCAAGUCGAACGAAGCACCUCUCCCGAAGAUUGACACAGCUUGCUGUAGAUUGAUUCAUUUGAGGUGACUGAGUGGCGGACGGGUGAGUAACGCGUGGGUAACCUGCCUCAUAGAGGGGGACAACAGUUGGAAACGACUGCUAAUACCGCAUAGUAAGAAGAAUUCGCAUGCUUUCUUCUUGAAAGAUUUAUCGCUAUGAGAUGGACCCGCGUCUGAUUAGCUAGUUGGUAAGGUAACGGCUUACCAAGGCGACGAUCAGUAGCCGGCUUGAGAGAGUGAACGGCCACAUUGGGACUGAGACACGGCCCAAACUCCUACGGGAGGCAGCAGUGGGGAAUAUUGCACAAUGGGGGAAACCCUGAUGCAGCGACGCCGCGUGAGUGAAGAAGUAUUUCGGUAUGUAAAGCUCUAUCAGCAGGGAAGAUAAUGACGGUACCUGACUAAGAAGCCCCGGCUAACUACGUG